GUCGACGAACUCUGGUAUUGAUUGGUGCUUGCAUCAUGAUUUACAUUUGAGUGAGUGGCGAACUGGUGAGUAACACGUGGGAAACCUGCCCAGAAGCGGGGGAUAACACCUGGAAACAGAUGCUAAUACCGCAUAACAACUUGGACCGCAUGGUCCGAGUUUGAAAGAUGGCUUCGGCUAUCACUUUUGGAUGGUCCCGCGGCGUAUUAGCUAGAUGGUGGGGUAACGGCUCACCAUGGCAAUGAUACGUAGCCGACCUGAGAGGGUAAUCGGCCACAUUGGGACUGAGACACGGCCCAAACUCCUACGGGAGGCAGCAGUAGGGAAUCUUCCACAAUGGACGAAAGUCUGAUGGAGCAACGCCGCGUGAGUGAAGAAGGGUUUCGGCUCGUAAAACUCUGUUGUUAAAGAAGAACAUAUCUGAGAGUAACUGUUCAGGUAUUGACGGUAUUUAACCAGAAAGCCACGGCUAACUACGUGCCAGCAGCCGCGGUAAUACGUAGGUGGCAAGCGUUGUCCGGAUUUAUUGGGCGUAAAGCGAGCGCAGGCGGUUUUUUAAGUCUGAUGUGAAAGCCUUCGGCUCAACCGAAGAAGUGCAUCGGAAACUGGGAAACUUGAGUGCAGAAGAGGACAGUGGAACUCCAUGUGUAGCGGUGAAAUGCGUAGAUAUAUGGA
rnacentral:rRNA from 1 species